GUGGGCGGCCACGCUUGACCUGCAGCCGGAGCACACUGUCUGCUUUAUGGUUGAUGUACCUGUCAUGAGAGACCCAGCUCCCUGCGCGGUCUGGGCGCGAGGAGGGCCGGAUCGCCGAGCCACGCUGCUCAUCAGCUGCGCCCUGAGCGGCGCCGUGCAGCCGGCCAUGCUGAUCCUACCGGGCGUCAGCAGGCGGGUGUACUCGGACAGCAGC